UACGGGGGGAGCAAGCGUUGUUCGGAUUUACUGGGCGUAAAGGGCGCGUAGGCGGCCACCGCAAGUCGGUUGUGAAAUCUCUGGGCUUAACCCAGAAAGGUCAACCGAUACUGCGGGGCUAGAGUGCAGAAGGGGCAACUGGAAUUCUCGGUGUAGCGGUGAAAUGCGUAGGGAUCGGGAAGAACAUCGGUGGCGAAGGCGGCCUGCUGGGCUGUUGCUGACGCUGAGGCGCGACAGCGUGGGGAGCAAACAGG
rnacentral:rRNA from 1 species